AGCGAACGCUGGCGGCAGGCUUAACACAUGCAAGUCGAGCGGGCACUUUCGGGUGUCAGCGGCGGACGGGUGAGUAACGCGUGGGAACGUGCCUUCUGGUUCGGAAUAACUCAGGGAAACUUGAGCUAAUACCGGAUACGCCCUUUUGGGGAAAGGCUUGCUGCCGGAGGAUCGGCCCGCGUCUGAUUAGCUAGUUGGUGAGGUAACGGCUCACCAAGGCGACGAUCAGUAGCUGGUCUGAGAGGAUGAUCAGCCACACUGGGACUGAGACACGGCCCAGACUCCUACGGGAGGCAGCAGUGGGGAAUAUUGGACAAUGGGCGCAAGCCUGAUCCAGCCAUGCCGCGUGAGUGAUGAAGGCCUUAGGGUUGUAAAGCUCUUUUAUCCGGGACGAUAAUGACGGUACCGGAGGAAUAAGCCCCGGCUAACUUCGUG
rnacentral:rRNA from 1 species